UACGAGGGGGGCAAGCGUUGUUCGGAAUUAUUGGGCGUAAAGGGCGCGUAGGCGGUGCGGUAAGUCUGAUGUGAAAUCUCCGGGCUCAACUCGGAGUCUGCAUCAGAAACUGCCGUGCUUGAGUGUGGGAGAGGUGAGUGGAAUUCCCGGUGUAGCGGUGAAAUGCGUAGAUAUCGGAAGGAACACUUGUGGCGAAAGCGGCUCACUGGACCAUUACUGACGCUGAUGCACGAAAGCUAGGGGAGCAAACAGG
rnacentral:rRNA from 1 species